CCCAUUAGUCAAAGAAACGAAGCACAGAUACCAUCGCCGUUUCGAGCUAGCGUUUCCCCUUUCUUCAAUCCCUGAUUUCAUAGAUCGACCAUGAAACUUUUUUUUUUUGUAACUUGACCAUGAAACCUUUGCUCUUCCUCUUCUCUGUUCCGUUUCACGAUCUGAUCGACGAGCAUUCAAGACAACCUCCACUUCGUUUCACCCUUUAUUCUCAUUUAUGGAUUCUCUUAGGAUUUCUCCUUCUGAUUUUUCAUAUAAAACAUAUGAUCACAGUUUUUUUCCGAUCCAACUUCGUUCUAUAUUCUCUCUACCACAGUGGAUGAUUUUGGUUACGUUUGUUGAUUUGGUUUUUGUUUGUUGAUGUAAGAUGAUUUGGAUAUAUUUUAUUAAUUUAGAAAUCUUGAAUUUAGAUGAUUUUGAUUUAGUUUUGGUUUUGUUUUUGUUUUUGUUUUUAUGUUAGAUGAUUUUGGUUGUAUACUGAUAUAGAAAGCUUUGGAUGAUAUUGGUUUUGUUUAUUGAUUCUGUUUUCGUUUGUUACUGCUUUUGUUUAUUCAGAACUUAAUUUAUAUUCGUGUCAAAAUCUUUGGGUCUCUCUUUUGCAGAAUGAACUUUCAUGGAGAGAGAUGAGAAAAUAAUCGUUGCCCAAAAAAAAAAGAGAAAAUAAUCUUCCGGUUUGAAUCCAACUACCGAACCGAUGAACUCUUCAGAUCGACGGCGACCGUAUGAAGGAAGAGCUUGCAAGCAGAUUCAAGCAAAACGAGAUUGGAGAAUGAUGAUGCUCAACCGCCAUGCUUUCCGGUGAACAAAUCACGAAUGGAACUAACCUUUUUAAUCAGCUUCUGAUGAUGAAAUGUGGAAGCCAAGUUCAACGUGGUAGAAGCCUAGGACAUCACUCCCAAAAACUUGAAUACUUUGAGGCUGUUGAAGGGGUUCUAAAGAUCAAGGACAGAUACAAUCCUGCAACGUGAAUGCUUGGAGAUGGACAUUCACAUUGAAGUACCUUAUUGCACAAAAAUAUUAAUUUUAUAAUUAUUGCACGAUGUCAACUAAAUAAAAUUUAUAAAAUCA